UACGGAGGGUGCGAGCGUUGUCCGGAAUCAUUGGGCGUAAAGGGCGCGUAGGUGGCCCGGUCAGUUCGUGGUGAAAGCGCGGGGCUCAACCCUGCGUCGGCCAUGAAUACUGCCGCGGCUGGAGCACUGUAGAGGCAGGCGGAAUUCCGGGUGUAGCGGUGGAAUGCGUAGAGAUCCGGAAGAACACCGGUGGCGAAGGCGGCCUGCUGGGCCAGCACUGACGCUCAUGCACGAAAGCGUGGGGAGCAAACAGG
rnacentral:rRNA from 1 species